UUUCCUUCCAUUUUUUGGCUCGCUUUGUAUUCCCUCCAGACAAUUAGGUACUCUUUCAGCCAAAAAAUAGUUUGCCCUAGAAAACUAAUUAACCUUUCAACCAAAGUCCGAUGAACAACCUAGACUUUUUCUGCGACAAGCUCUUCGCUCACUGUCCCUUUCCAACGACUGCAGGAUAUGAGAUUUGUAAUGUUAGAAUCAUAAAGAAGUUGGAGGGGCACUUGCGAAAGACGAGCUAGACAUGAACGUUCAUCAUCAAUGUUGAUAAAACCCAUGUUAAUAGUAGAGGGGUUGGUCCAUUAUCCAUCGAGCUUUUUUUAACAAGUUGAUUACUGAAAACUCUUAUAGUGAUUAGGGGAAAAUUGCACCAGCUGGUGAAUCGAAGGCAUCGAUAUUUGUUCUCCAUGACACUUGAAGGACUUCAUUUUGAUCAGAAGUUGAGGAAAAUGUUUGUGGACUAUCUACGGUGUUGAAUUAAGACAAUUUGAUGACAUUAGUUAUUUGAUUAAAAUUGUUUACUUUUUUUGUAAUGUUGGAAUUAUGAAAUAAUGGAUUAGUGGUUGUUUUGUUUAUUGUAUAUUGUAUAUAUUACUUUUUAGAAUAAACAAUGUCUUUGACAUUUGUAUUUCAUAAUUUAAUUUUAUUACAAGUGAAUGUUGUUGUA